AAGACUUGUUUCUCCCCCAGGGUAGAGCUUUUGUGACAUCACACUAGAGCUGGAGGUAGAGAUAGUGACCUAGUUCUCAUGGAGUAGCACUGUUUGAGGAGGGCUCACUGGGAACAUGAUACGGUGGUCCCUAGUUUUCCUGGUUUGCCUUCCUCAAAGUAAAAUCUCUGCCUUAUGAAUGAGCUGAACAGGAUCAACUGGGACCCUGCUUUGGAUCAGCAUGACAUGCCUGGGGGGAGUUUCUAAUUUAUGAAUGAGGCUCCUUGGGGAAGAGAGACCUGAUCUCUCUGCUGCUCUUGCCUGGAAUAAAGCUCCUACAACAAGGGACUGAGAGAUGAGAAAAACCUGACAGCAUGCUCUUCACAAGUUGGAAAUGUAGUCCUACACUGAUGCUAUGAGGAAAGGGAGCCUCCAUCUUCAUCACUGUACUUACCAGAAUGAGAGCUCCUGGAACAUUUUCAUAAGAAGUGAUGUGGGGGAAGAAAAAGGACAGGAGUGAAAAUAAAUGUUUCCAGAAGAAAAAUGAGUCCAGUGGGAAUGUGUCAAACGUUUUAAUCAACAGCCUAAAUCUUUGGAGGAGAAAUGAUAAGUUCUUCUCAGAGUGGAUACAGAAGAGAUAUAGAAGAUGUGAGGAGGAAGAAGGAAAGAAAGAAUUUCCCCAGCAGCAUAUGUAUUUACUGAUGUCCAUGUUGUGGGUGAUUGGAGUUUGAACCACAGUGGUGACUAUAAGCAUCAGCAUAGAAAGACAUGAAUUUUGGAGACAUUUGGGAAGUCGGAGGCUGCAGUUCUUAGGCUUUUAUUAUUCCUUCCCUAAAGAGCUUUCUCUGACUAUACCCAUCUAUAGGAAUGCUUCUUAAGGGGCAAGGACUAGAUUUAUGUUUUUUCCUAGUCCACCUUGUACUAAUACUUUUGUAAAAAGCAAUAAAAAUAAAUUAGUAGAAAAAUGAAAUAGAAAA
rnacentral:lncRNA from 1 species